AGUGAACGCUGGCGGUAGGCCUAACACAUGCAAGUCGAACGGCAGCACAGUAAGAGCUUGCUCUUACGGGUGGCGAGUGGCGGACGGGUGAGGAAUACAUCGGAAUCUACUUUUUCGUGGGGGAUAACGUAGGGAAACUUACGCUAAUACCGCAUACGACCUACGGGUGAAAGCAGGGGAUCUUCGGACCUUGCGCGAUUGAAUGAGCCGAUGUCGGAUUAGCUAGUUGGCGGGGUAAAGGCCCACCAAGGCGACGAUCCGUAGCUGGUCUGAGAGGAUGAUCAGCCACACUGGAACUGAGACACGGUCCAGACUCCUACGGGAGGCAGCAGUGGGGAAUAUUGGACAAUGGGCGCAAGCCUGAUCCAGCCAUACCGCGUGGGUGAAGAAGGCCUUCGGGUUGUAAAGCCCUUCUGUUGGGAAAGAAAAGCAGCAGGUUAAUACCCCGCCGUUCUGACGGUACCCAAAGAAUAAGCACCGGCUAACUUCGUG
rnacentral:rRNA from 1 species